rnacentral:misc_RNA from 1 species
GAUGAAGAACGCAGCGAAAUGUGAUAAGUAAUGUGAAUUGCAGAAUUCAGUGAAUCAUCGAAUCUUUGAACGCACAUUGCGCCCGCCAGUAUUCUGGCGGGCAUGCCUGUUCGAGCGUCAUUUCAACCAUCAAGCCCCAGGCUUGUGUUGGGGACCUGCGGCUGCCGCAGGCCCUGAAAACCAGUGGCGGGCUCGCUGUCACACCGGGCGUAGUAGAUUUUAUCUCGCUCAGGGCGUGCUGCGGGUUCCGGCCGUUAAAAAGCCUUUUUUACCCAAGGUUGACCUCGGAUCAGGUAGGAAGACCCGCUGAACUUAAGCAUAUCAAUAAGCGGAGGA